rnacentral:rRNA from 1 species
CACGUAGGGGGCAAGCGUUGUUCGGAAUUACUGGGCGUAAAGGGCAUGUAGGCGGCUUUGUAAGCUUGGCGUGAAAUUCCACGGCUUAACCGUGGGAAUGCGUUGAGAACUGCGAGGCUUGAGUUAUGGAGAGGGAGCUAGAAUUCCUGGUGUAGGGGUGGAAUCUGUAGAGAUCAGGAAGAAUACCAAUGGCGAAGGCAAGCUCCUGGCCAAUAACUGACGCUGAGGUGCGAAAGUGUGGGGAUCAAACAGGAUUAGAACU